UACGUAGGGCGCAAGCGUUGUCCGGAAUUAUUGGGCGUAAAGAGCUCGUAGGCGGCUUGUCACGUCGGGUGUGAAAGCCCGGGGCUUAACCCCGGGUCUGCAUUCGAUACGGGCUAGCUAGAGUGUGGUAGGGGAGAUCGGAAUUCCUGGUGUAGCGGUGAAAUGCGCAGAUAUCAGGAGGAACACCGGUGGCGAAGGCGGAUCUCUGGGCCAUAACUGACGCUGAGAAGCGAAAGCAUGGGGAGCGAACAGG
rnacentral:rRNA from 1 species